rnacentral:lncRNA from 1 species
CAUCUUUGGAUGUUCCGUGACAUUGUAGCAAUAGUGAAGAAAUGUUAACAAGGAGAAGCAAAAGAUAUACAAAAGAUGUCCCUUCCAUUUUCAAGCUAUGCACGCAAGAAAAAAUGUGUAAAUACAAACAUGCAAUGAAACAAGUGUAAAUAAAUCAAAUGGAUUCUGUUUUGUUUUUUAAAUAAAAAAAAUAAACAAUAAUAGCAACAAAUAACUAAACUUAAAUAAAAGGCAAAAGAAACAGCAAGGCUAAACUCUCGUAAUAGUUUUCAAAACUAUUUUUGUUUUUAAAAAUCAACUAAUGAAAAAAAUGUUUUGAUCUGUUUUGUAAAAACGGUUUUUUAAAAGACUAAAACUAUUCUCACUUUUAUUGUUUUUAAAACUAAUAAAUGAAAACAAUAAAAGAUAUUAAUGACAUACUUGUAAAUAAGUGAGCACAAACAUUAGUGUUUUCUUAUAUAUACAAAAUUUAUUCUUCAUAUCAGAAGUUCAUUAUUGAAAUAAUAUUGGGUUCAUAGUGGAGGAAAAAAAGUAUAUAUUUUUGACGAGUAACUGAUGUGUAUAUAUGGUAUAUAGCAUUAAUACCAAGUAAUAGAAGAAUGUGAUUAAGGAUCUUGUUAGUGCAACAACAAGUGGUAAGGAUUAUCAAAUAUCUGAAAAUAAAGAAAGUUAUUAGUAAAUUGCAACAAGAAAUAAAAGACUAUUGAAAGCUUAGGUGAGUAAAGCCUAUCAGCUAGGAAGGAUGUUAUAAGAUUUUAUAUUGACUUUGAU